rnacentral:rRNA from 1 species
GUGGGGAAUAUUGGGCAAUGGGCGAAAGCCUGACCCAGCAACGCCGCGUGAAGGAAGAAGGUUUUCGGAUCGUAAACUUCUAUCCUUGGUGAAGAUAAUGACGGUAGCCAAGAAGGAAGCCCCGGCUAACUACGUGUCAGCAGCCGCGGUAAUACGUAGGGGGCAAGCGUUGUCCGGAAUGAUUGGGCGUAAAGGGCGCGUAGGCGGCCUGGUAAGUCUGGAGUGAAAGUCCUGCUUUUAAGGUGGGAAUUGCUUUGGAUACUGUCAGGCUUGAGUGCAGGAGAGGUAAGCGGAAUUCCCGGUGUAGCGGUGAAAUGCGUAGAGAUCGGGAGGAACACCAGUGGCGAAGGCGGCUUACUGGACUGUAACUGACGCUGAGGCGCGAAAGUGUGGGGAGCAAACAGGAUUAGAUACCCUAGUAGUCC